rnacentral:rRNA from 1 species
GACGAACGCUGGCGGCGUGCCUAACACAUGCAAGUCGAGCGGAGAUAAGCGGAUGGUAACUGAAGUUUGUCUUAGCGGCGGACGGGUGAGUAACACGUGGGCAACCUGCCUUGGAGUGGGGGAUAACACCGGGAAAUCGGUGCUAAUACCGCAUAACAUACACAUACUGCAUGGUGAGUGUAUCAAAGGAGCAAUCCGCUUUAAGAUGGGCCCGCGGCUGAUUAGCUAGUUGGUAAGGUAACGGCUUACCAAGGCGACGAUCAGUAGCCGACCUGAGAGGGUGACCGGCCACACUGGAACUGAGACACGGUCCAGACUCCUACGGGAGGCAGCAGUGGGGAAUAUUGCGCAAUGGGGGAAACCCUGACGCAGCAACGCCGCGUGGAGGAAGAAGGUCUUCGGAUUGUAAACUCCUGUCUUCUGGGACGAAGUAUGACGGUACCAGAGGAGGAAGCCACGGCUAACUACGUGCCAGCAGCCGCGGUAAGAGUCACGUCG